AUUGAACGCUGGCGGCAGGCCUAACACAUGCAAGUCGAACGGUAGCACAGAGAGCUUGCUCUCGGGUGACGAGUGGCGGACGGGUGAGUAAUGUCUGGGAAACUGCCUGAUGGAGGGGGAUAACUACUGGAAACGGUAGCUAAUACCGCAUAACGUCGCAAGACCACAGAGGGGGACCUUCGGGCCUCUUGCCAUCAGAUGUGCCCAGAUGGGAUUAGCUAGUAGGUGGGGUAACGGCUCACCUAGGCGACGAUCCCUAGCUGGUCUGAGAGGAUGACCAGCCACACUGGAACUGAGACACGGUCCAGACUCCUACGGGAGGCAGCAGUGGGGAAUAUUGCACAAUGGGCGCAAGCCUGAUGCAGCCAUGCCGCGUGUAUGAAGAAGGCCUUCGGGUUGUAAAGUACUUUCAGCGGGGAGGAAGGCGAUAAGGUUAAUAACCUUGUCGAUUGACGUUACCCGCAGAAGAAGCACCGGCUAACUCCGUG
rnacentral:rRNA from 1 species